rnacentral:rRNA from 1 species
UAGGGAAUCUUCGGCAAUGGACGAAAGUCUGACCGAGCAACGCCGCGUGAGUGAAGAAGGUUUUCGGAUCGUAAAACUCUGUUGUUAGAGAAGAACAAGGACGUUAGUAACUGAACGUCCCCUGACGGUAUCUAACCAGAAAGCCACGGCUAACUACGUGCCAGCAGCCGCGGUAAUACGUAGGUGGCAAGCGUUGUCCGGAUUUAUUGGGCGUAAAGCGAGCGCAGGCGGUUUCUUAAGUCUGAUGUGAAAGCCCCCGGCUCAACCGGGGAUGGUCAUUGGAAACUGGGAUACUUGAGUGCAGAAGAGGAGAGUGGAAUUCCAUGUGUAGCGGUGAAAUGCGUAGAUAUAUGGAGGAACACCAGUGGCGAAGGCGGCUCUCUGGUCUGUAACUGACGCUGAGGCUCGAAAGCGUGGGGAGCAAACAGG